rnacentral:rRNA from 1 species
CCUACGGGUGGCAGCAGUGAGGAAUAUUGGUCAAUGGGCGAGAGCCUGAACCAGCCAAGUCGCGUGAGGGAGUACUGCCCUAUGGGUUGUAAACCUCUUUUGUCGGGGAGCAAAAGCCGGACGUGUCCGGCUGUGAGAGUACCCGAAGAAAAAGCAUCGGCUAACUCCGUGCGAGCAGCCGCGGUAAUACGGAGGAUGCGGGCGUUAUCCGGAUUUAUUGGGUUUAAAGGGGGCGCAGGCGGAUUAUUAAGUCUGCGGUAAAAUCGUGGGGUUCAACCCCAUCAAGCCGUUGAAAGGGGGGAUCUAGAGUGUGCGAGAGGUAGGCGGAAUGCGUGGUGUAGCGGUGAAAUGCAUAGAGAUCACGCAGAACCCCGAUUGCGAAGGCAGCAUACCGGUGCACAACUGACGCUCAGGCACGAAAGCGUGGGUAUCGAACAGGAUUAGAUACCCGGGUAGUC